GGUAGUAGCAAAUACUCCAGCGAGGCCCUGGAGGACUGACGUGGAGAAGGGUUUCGCGUGAACAGUAGUUGCUCGCGAGUCAGUCGAUCCUAAGCUCAAGGAAAGAUCUUAUGUCGAUGUGGCAUGUUUUUUUAUUUUUAAAAAUGAUGAAAAAUAACGCCCUUUGAGCGAAAGGGAAUCCGAUUCCUAUUCCGGAACCCGGCAGCGGAACCGUUUCAAUAAUCGUUCCCUCGUCUUUAAAAACGAGUA
rnacentral:rRNA from 9 species